rnacentral:rRNA from 1 species
AUUGAACGCUGGCGGCAUGCUUUACACAUGCAAGUCGAACGCGAAAGGGGGCAACCCUGAGUAGAGUGGCGCACGGGUGAGUAAUACAUCGGAACGUGUCCUGUAAUGGGGGAUAACGCAGCGAAAGCUGUGCUAAUACCGCAUACGUCCUACGGGAGAAAGCGGGGGAUCGCAAGACCUCGCGUUAUAGGAGCGGCCGAUGCCGGAUUAGCUAGUUGGUGGGGUAAAGGCCUACCAAGGCAACGAUCCGUAGCUGGUCUGAGAGGAUGAUCAGCCACACUGGGACUGAGACACGGCCCAGACUCCUACGGGAGGCAGCAGUGGGGAAUUUUGGACAAUGGGCGCAAGCCUGAUCCAGCCAUGCCGCGUGAGUGAAGAAGGCCUCGGUG